UUGGAUGGAAAUGUGCUAAGGCAUUUUAUGUAUGCGUUUGUACUUUGAAAGAGUCGGUCAUUCUUGAAACUCAUAUUUAGCUAGCUAAUCCCACAACUCAUGAAGAGUAAGCCAUUCCUAAAACUCAUAUUUAGUUGACUAAUCCUGAAACUCAUGAGUCAAUCAUCCCAGAAAGUCUCAAAGGAGUCAACUAUGCUUGUAACUCA
rnacentral:lncRNA from 1 species